GCCCAGAUGGCGGAAUUGGUAGACGCGCUAGUUUCAGGGACUAGUGCUCGCAAGAGCGUGCAGGUUCGAGUCCUGUUCUGGGCA
rnacentral:tRNA from 2 species